CAUUACUGCACCGGGCCCUGUUGUCUAUUUAAGCCCACUCCUCUCCUCCAAGGACUUCACUUCGCCUGAAAGUCCAGUUGGUGCUCUUCUUCUUCUUGAGAGCUCCGCUCCUCUCCAUCAUCCUUUUCGGUCUUAGGUGUUCUUUGAGUCAACUCCCACCAUUUUUGCCGCCUUCCUGCUUCCCUCGGGCCAAUCCAGGUUGGUCCCAAAACUUCUUUGCUCUCUCAUCAUUUUGUUGUUCCUU
rnacentral:lncRNA from 1 species